rnacentral:rRNA from 1 species
GACGAACGCUGGCGGCGUGCUUAACACAUGCAAGUCGAACGUGAUUUUUGUGGAAAUUCUUUCGGGAAUGGAAAUGAAAUGAAAGUGGCGAACGGGUGAGUAACACGUGAGCAACCUACCUUACACAGGGGGAUAGCCGUUGGAAACGACGAUUAAUACCGCAUGAGACCACAGAAUCGCAUGAUAUAGGGGUCAAAGAUUUAUCGGUGUAAGAAGGGCUCGCGUCUGAUUAGCUAGUUGGAAGGGUAAAGGCCUACCAAGGCGACGAUCAGUAGCCGGUCUGAGAGGAUGAACGGCCACAUUGGAACUGAGACACGGUCCAAACUCCUACGGGAGGCAGCAGUGGGGAAUAUUGCACAAUGGGGGAAACCCUGAUGCAGCAACGCCGCGUAAACGAUGAAGGCCUUUGGGUCGUAAAGUUCUGUUCUAGGUGAUGAAAACUGACAGUAACCUAGGAGAAAGCCCCGGCUAACUCCGUGCCAGCAGCCGCGGUAAUACGGAGGGGGCAAGCGUUAUCCGGAAUUAUUGGGCGUAAAGGGUACGUAGGCGGCCUUUUAAGCGUAGGGUAUAAGGCAAUGGCUCAACCAUUGUUCGCCCUAUGAACUGGAAGGCUUGAGUGCAGGAGAGGAAAGCGGAAUUCCUAGUGUAGCGGUGGAAUGCAUAGAUAUUAGGAGGAACAUCAGCGGCGAAGGCGGCUUUCUGGACUGCAACUGACACUGAGGUACGAAAGCGUGGGGAGCAAACAGG